rnacentral:lncRNA from 1 species
UAGGGUUUAUGAUUUAAGGUUUAGAGUUUAGGGUUGAUGGUUUAGGUUUAUGGUCUUGGAUGUUGGGUUUAGAAUUUAGAAUUUUAGGUUUAGAGUUUAGGAUUUAGGGUUUAUGGUUUAGAGUUUUGGGUUUUAGGUUUAGAAAUUAGGGUUUAGAAUUUAGGAUUUAGAGUUUAGGAUUUGAGGUUUAGGGUUUAGAUUUUAGAUUUUUAGAAUUUCGGGUUUUGUAGACGGCGUUAACUUCGGUGUUUUUUCUCAGCCGUUUUUUUUUUUAAUUUUAAUGCUUUUUUUAACUAAUCUUAUAUGGCAAUUUGGUUGGUUAUAAAAGCUGAGGUGAAUUUGACCAUUCACCAUAGGGGUGAACCCAAGUAUUUUUCAAAUAAAAUCUCAAUGAUUAUCUUGCUCAUUUAUAUACACUACGAGAAAAAUAUGGGCUUCACGAUAAAAAUUAAUGACGAAAUUUAGCUAUAGUAAGUUGGAGCUUUUGUUAAAAUUUUCUUUCAGAAUUAACACUAA